rnacentral:rRNA from 1 species
AUUGAACGCUGGCGGCAGGCCUAACACAUGCAAGUCGAGCGGAUGAAGGGAGCUUGCUCCUGGAUUCAGCGGCGGACGGGUGAGUAAUGCCUAGGAAUCUGCCUGGUCGUGGGGGAUAACGUCCGGAAACGGGCGCUAAUACCGCAUACGUCCUGAGGGUGAAAGAGGGGGAUCUUCGGACCUCACGCUAUCAGAUGAGCCUAGGUCGGAUUAGCUAGUUGGUGGGGUAAAGGCCUACCAAGGCGACGAUCCGUAACUGGUCUGAGAGGAUGAUCAGUCACACUGGAACUGAGACACGGUCCAGACUCCUACGGGAGGCAGCAGUGGGGAAUAUUGGACAAUGGGCGAAAGCCUGAUCCAGCCAUGCCGCGUGUGUGAAGAAGGUCUUCGGAUUGUAAAGCACUUUAAGUGGGGAGGAAGGGCAGUAAGUUAAUACCUUGCUGUUUUGACGUUACCAACAGAAUAAGCACCGGCUAACUUCGUG